AGCUUUGCACAGUGGCAGUAUCGUAGCCAAUGAGGUUUAUCCGAGGCGCGAUUAUUGCUAAUUGAAUAAAGAAGUUUGAAUAUUCAAAUAUUUUGAAUAUUCAAAAUUUUGACUAUUUCGAAUA
rnacentral:snRNA from 1 species